UCCAUGGAGGACUAGUGGUUAGGCCUCGGCAUUCUCAUUGUCAUGGCCCAGGUUUGAUUCCUGGCCAGGGAA